GAUGAACGCUGGCGGCGUGCCUAAUACAUGCAAGUCGAGCGAACGGACGAGAAGCUUGCUUCUCUGAUGUUAGCGGCGGACGGGUGAGUAACACGUGGAUAACCUACCUAUAAGACUGGGAUAACUUCGGGAAACCGGAGCUAAUACCGGAUAAUAUUUUGAACCGCAUGGUUCAAAAGUGAAAGACGGUCUUGCUGUCACUUAUAGAUGGAUCCGCGCUGCAUUAGCUAGUUGGUAAGGUAACGGCUUACCAAGGCAACGAUGCAUAGCCGACCUGAGAGGGUGAUCGGCCACACUGGAACGGAGACACGGUCCAGACUCCUACGGGAGGCAGCAGUAGGGAAUCUUACGCAAUGGGCGAAAGCCUGACGGAGCAACGCCGCGUGAGUGAUGAAGGUCUUCGGAUCGUAAAACUCUGUUAUUAGGGAAGAACAUAUGUGUAAGUAACUGUGCACAUCUUGACGGUACCUAAUCAGAAAGCCACGGCUAACUACGUG
rnacentral:rRNA from 1 species